AGAGUAGAGUGCAGCCAAGGAUGACUUGCCGGUAUUUGGAGAUAUAUAACAUAUGCUCCACUUAAUUCCAUGAUUACCCGGCAAGUUGAACUUGGCUACAUUUGCCUCUCU
rnacentral:pre_miRNA from 1 species